rnacentral:lncRNA from 1 species
GAUAGUUGGGGGAAGAGGCGCAAAUUGCUCUCUUUAAAUAGGUGUGGAGGAUUGGUCAACUAUUCUUUGUGGGGAAGAAAAAGGCAAUCUGCACAGCAUGUGUUGGAUGGAGGUUAUAUAGUAACAUUUUCCAAAUGUGGCCUUUGAAUUGGAGCAUACAGAUAGCUGAACAGAAACUCAACAUCCAAUGAGGUGAUUAGUCAUUGUCCUCACUGCCUUGCCAAGGCUAAUUUCAUUCUGGAUGAAACAAAAAAUGGGUUAAGGUUUGUAUUUGGUUGUUUCAGGGAUUUCUCUGCUCUCUUUC